rnacentral:rRNA from 1 species
GACGAACGCUGGCGGCGUGCUUAACACAUGCAAGUCGAACGGAAAGGCCCCUUUGGGGGUACUCGAGUGGCGAACGGGUGGGUAACACGUGAGUAACCUGCCCUUGACUUCGGGAUAACUUCAGGAAACUGGGGCUAAUACCGGAUAGGAAUCCUUGCUGCAUGGUGGGGGUUGGAAAGCUUCGGCGGUUUUGGAUGGACUCGCGGCUUAUCAGCUUGUUGGUGGGGUAGUGGCUUACCAAGGCUUUGACGGGUAGCCGGCCUGAGAGGGCGACCGGCCACAUUGGGACUGAGAUACGGCCCAGACUCCUACGGGAGGCAGCAGUGGGGAAUAUUGCACAAUGGGCGGAAGCCUGAUGCAGCAACGCCGCGUGCGGGAGGACGGCCUUCGGGUUGUAAACCGCUUUCAGCAGGGGCGAAGCUUGUGGUGACGGUACCUGCAGAAGAAGCACCGGCUAACUACGUG